GGACGGCCACGUGGCCGGACACGGGGAGAGGGAGCAGGGACGGGCGAGGCCCGUCUUCCCGUCACCCGGAGGCCAUUAUGUGUUCAGAAACACGUGUUCCGACUCAGACAGGCUUCAAGGCUGCCACAGAGGGCAGUGUGCCCUGGGCCAGCGGCCCACACCGCAGCAGCCGGACACCGCGCCCGAGCAGAGCAGGCAAAAUGUGUUCUCGCUCUGUGACUCCAGCGCUCUGUGCUCAGACUUCACUGCACAGGAGCAGGGGGUGCGCCAUGGAUAGGCAGCGGUCAGCGCCAAUGUCCUGGGGCCAGUGAGUCGAGUCAGCAUGUACACACACACACCAGGGAGCCGGGCUCCUCACAGCAGGGCUCCGCCAGACAGUGCCACAGGGCACGAGAAGCGCAGAAAAAGAGAAGGAAAAUAAGCGGGUGAAAGACUGUGCUCAGUGCAGGUCAGAACACGGGGAAUGCUGUGCAGGAAGCAGCCAUGAAGUCUCGGCCUCAACUCCUGCCAGGCUACUCCGCCAUUCCAGAAGCACAGAAGCAAAAGAAGCCAGGCCUGCACCACACCCUCCUCACUCGGGCUGGCCGGGCCUGGGCCUUGGAGUCCCCUAGUCUUCCACACCGCACCCGGGGAGGCUGGGUGGCUCCCACGGGCAGGCGGCCUGGAUACGCGGUGACCCUGAGCAUGAGCAGCUCAGACGCCUCGGCCGGACAGGGAGCAUUCCCGGUGACCAAGCAGCAGCAUCGGAGACGUCAUGCGGAACUCGCUUCCGCCACGUCACCAUCACCCAAGUGCACGGGCACACCCCCCACCCUGGGCCACUGCGCUGCCAGCGGGGUCCCUGGAAACGACACGGGGCAGCCAUGUGACGGCAGAGGCGCCCGGAGACCCAACCUUCCACACUCGGCGUGGUCAGCGCUUCCACCUGGGCCUUCCCCGGCCAGCCAGAUGCACGGGGUGUGACAGGACUGCAGGGCCCCCUCCAGGGCUGCCGCACAACCAGUGGCCACGGGUGUGCGUGGAGGGAGCAGUGGCCCAGCACACGGUGCCUCAGGCUGGCGUGGCGAGCACACCUGAAAUCCCAGCACUCUGGAGGCUGAGGCACGAUUAAAAGUUCAAGCCUAGCCUGGGCAACUUAGGGAGACUGUCUCAAAAAAAUUUUAAAAAGGGCUUGGAAUGUAGCUCAAUGUGCUCAACGCUCAGUACUAAAAAACAAAACCCUGCAGCAGGCACGGC
rnacentral:lncRNA from 1 species